CCUGCCGGCGACCGGCGCACGGGUGAGUAACACGUAUGAAACCUGCCCGUAGCAGGGGGAUAAGCGGAAGAAAUUCCGUCUAAUACCGCGUAACAACCCGAGGAGGCAUCUCCUCGGGUUUAAAGGAAGCGAUUCCGGCUACGGAUGGUCAUGCGUCGCAUUAGCUAGUUGGCGGGGUAACGGCCCACCAAGGCGACGAUGCGUAGGGGUUCUGAGAGGAAGGUCCCCCACACUGGUACUGAGACACGGACCAGACUCCUACGGGAGGCAGCAG
rnacentral:rRNA from 1 species